UCAAUCUCUCAUCAUUUCUAUUUAUGUUCUGAACAUGCCCACUAAAAAAUGGCACUCGAGAAUAAUGUCUGCAGAGGGAGUUUUUUUUCCCUCUCAGAGCAUGUUUAAGAGAUGGGAAUUAAUAAAGGUUGUUGUUCAUGGCAAUUGAAGAAAGGAUGACUAUGGUGACAAUCCAUCUCCAAAGGCCCUAUGUGGGUGAUAGGAGUUGUCAGAUGUGGACAACCUUUGCUUCAAGCUCAAGAGGUGAACUAGUCCUGAAGGUGUUUGUCCUGGUAUCUUGACAGGAUCUAACUCCCAACAUUUCUAGACUCAGGAUACCCUUUUCAUCUCCAAAUUGAGCACCGACAAGUCAUACAUCAACAGUUUAUGGUGAAUGUAUAUGAUUAUUAGCACCAUCUCGUCUAAAUUAAAUGAAACGGUAAAAAAAAAAAAACAAAAAACAAAAACAAAAACAAAAAAGAGAGGGCAGGGAAGAAGCACAUUUAUCGCAACUAGAGCAAGGUCUCGAAUCAAAGUUCCCUGCCCUCAUUUAUAGUUAAAAAGGUUGUGUUAUAACUUGAUCAUUUUCCAUUUUAUACAAAGGGAAUGCUGAUAAUAGUGUUUGAUUGAA